GGAAGAUGAUAAUAGGCCUACCAUUCUGGCCAGAAGGCGGAGUGGUAUUGAUUCUUUUCGGAGUACCCGGCGUAUCUCUUUCCGUAUUGUCACAAUUUUCGCCACGGGCAGUCGCAGGGUGCACGUUCUCAAGUCUAUUUCGAACCCCAGAAAUUGUACCACCCUGGCUGGGUGGAGCGAUGAUUUUUCUCUGUUUACGAUGAAGCCCAAUGAUUCCAG